rnacentral:rRNA from 1 species
AGGGCACCACCAGGAGUGGAGCCUGCGGCUUAAUUUGGCUCAACACGGGGAAACUCACCCGGCCCGGACACCGUAAGGAUUGACAGAUUGAUAGCUUUUUCAUGAUUCGGUGGAUGGUGGUGCAUGGCCGUUCUUAGUUCGUGGAGCGAUUUGUCUGGUUUAUUCCGAUAACGAGCGAGACUCUAGCCUACUAAAUAGUUCGCACAUUGUCUCUGUGUGUGUGACUUCUUAGAGGGAUUUUCGGUGUUCAGCCGCACGAAAUUGAGCAAUAACAGGUCUGUGAUGCCCUUAGAUGUCCGGGGCUGCACGCGCGCUACACUGGCAAAAUCAGCGUGCUUGUCCUUCCCCGAAAGGGGUUGGUAAACCCUUGAAAAUUUGCCGUGAUUGGGAUUGGAAAUUGCAAUUAUUUUCCAUGAACGAGGAAUUCCAAGUAAGUGCGAGUCAUCAGCUCGCGUUGAUUACGUCCCUGCCCUUUGUACACACCGCCCGUCGCUGCCCGGGACUGAGCCAUUUCGAGAA